CCGCAUAUACAAUUUGCAUAUUCAUUUUUUUUCUCGAUUUUGAAUACAUAUUCCGAAAUGACAGUUGGUUAUGUGUUUUAAUGAAAGAAUUUUAUAUGAUUUGCAUUCAUAAAAAUUGUAUAUGGAGUAAUUCGGUAUGCUUGUGUUUUUGAGAAAAAACCAAGCGGCUGUUUGGCAUUCAUAUCUAUGUAAUGAAGCCACCUGAAUUGUGCAUGACUACCUGCUGAACUUAAGCAUAUCAGUAAGCGGAGGAAAAGAAACAAACAUGGAUUUCCUUAGUAACGGCGAGUGAAA
rnacentral:rRNA from 1 species